rnacentral:rRNA from 1 species
UACGAAGGUGGCAAGCGUUGUUCGGAUUUACUGGGCGUACAGGGAGCGUAGGCGGUUGGGUAAGCCCUCCGUGAAAUCUCCAGGCUUAACCUGGAAAGUGCAGAGGGGACUGCUUAGCUAGAGGAUGGGAGAGGAGCGCGGAAUUCCCGGUGUAGCGGUGAAAUGCGUAGAGAUGUGGAGGAACACCGAUGGCGAAGGCAGCCUCCUGGGCCAAUACUGACGCUCAUGCACGAAAGCGUGGGGAGCAAACAGG